UGGGGAAUUUUGGACAAUGGGGGCAACCCUGAUCCAGCCAUUCCGCGUGAGUGAAGAAGGCCUUCGGGUUGUAAAGCUCUUUCGGCAGGAACGAAACGGCGAGCUCUAACAUAGCUUGCUAAUGACGGUACCUGAAGAAGAAGCACCGGCUAACUACGUGCCAGCAGCCGCGGUAAUACGUAGGGUGCGAGCGUUAAUCGGAAUUACUGGGCGUAAAGCGUGCGCAGGCGGUUAUAUAAGACAGAUGUGAAAUCCCCGGGCUCAACCUGGGAACUGCAUUUGUGACUGUAUAGCUAGAGUACGGCAGAGGGGGAUGGAAUUCCGCGUGUAGCAGUGAAAUGCGUAGAUAUGCGGAGGAACACCGAUGGCGAAGGCAAUCCCCUGGGCCUGCACUGACGCUCAUGCACGAAAGCGUGGGGAGCAAACA
rnacentral:rRNA from 1 species